AUAGUUGUAACAAAGUGUUGCCUUUACUGGAAUUUUGCUCCUUAAUCUUAUGAUGAUUUGAUCAUUUAUUAUUUUUAAGCCUUUUCCUAAGUUUUGCAGAUGACCGUGGUAAUUUCCUAAUAUGUGUAUCUUGGUAGGUAAAAUGCUGUCAAAUUCACCACAAGUUGUGUACUCGGAAGUGAAUUUCAAGAAUUCUUCAGGUGCUCCCCCAGCUGUUUCUUCCUUUUCUCUUCAUGAAUAAAUUCUCACAUGAAACAAGAAGAAGUAACACAAGGAGGCCUCUGGUGUCACAUCAGUGAGCCAUCAGACACCUCAUGGUCUUCAGUGGGCUCGCUUCUGCUUUUUAAAGUGGCCUCUUCUCACCCGCAUUGAAGACGAACUGCCAUCCCUUCCUGCAUUGGUUCCUCACGCUCUCUGGCUUACUGUGGACCCUGUGAUGUGCAAAGAAAGUUAAAAAAAAUUAAUAUGAGUUUGUGAUUUUAUACUUUUUACAAAUAUUUGUUAUGCUUUUAGCUUUACAGUUAAUCAUUUUGAGCUUCUCAUUAACCUUGUAUACCAUGAAAUAUGCUUAUAAACAGUAUAUAUAACAUAAAAUAAUUGGAUCUGUUGCCUUUAAAAAUGCAUAUUAAUUUAAAUGAUGUACUUAAUUUUUAUGAUUACAAAUAAUUGUUUUUAUGUUUUCAUUUUAACGACUGCCAAACAGAGCUUGUUGUGGAGAAUCACUUUUAAAUAUUUCACAAAUAAAAUUUCUCUCGUCUGUAUUGUGUUUGAAUCUUCUGUUCUGACCCCACUCCCCAUUCCUUUGUACUGUUACUCAG